rnacentral:rRNA from 1 species
UCAGGCACGAAGCCAGGGGAGCAAUCGGAAUAGAUAGCCCGGUAGUCCUGUCAGUAAACUGUGCUCACUCGCUGUUGCCGGUUCGACCCGAUCGGUGCCGAACCUAACGGAGUAAGUGAACCGCCUGGGGAGUACGGUCGCCAGAUUGAAACUCGUAGAAAUUGACGGGGGCCCGCACAAGCGGUGGAGUAUGUGGCUUAAUUCGAUGCAACGCGAAGAACCUUACCUGGUCUUGACACGCAUUUUCAUCCGGUGAAAGCCGGUGUCCCGCAAGGGAGAAUUGCACAGGUGCUGCAUGGCUGUCGUCAGCUCGUGUCGUGAGAUGUUGGGUUAAGUCCCGCAACGAGCGCAACCGUUAUGUCUAGUUAUACGCCCGCAGGGCUCUCUAGUCAGACUGCCCUGUCAAUCGGGGAGGAAGGUGGGGAUGACGUCAAGUCAGGAUGGCAUUAUGUCCAGGGCUGCACACGUAUUACAAUGCCCAAUACAGAGGGCAGCCAAGUCGCGAGACGGAGCCAAUCCCAGAAAAGUGUGCUCAGUUCGGAUUGGAGUCUGCACUCGACCUCCAUGAAGUUGGAAUCGCUAGUAAUGGCG